ensembl:lncRNA
CAAAAUUCCCAGCUGACCUCCAAACCAAGGCUAUGGCUGAGCUCGCCAAUCUUCGGUGCAGACCAGAUCUCUACGCACUGACAAAAUACAGCCUCUGCUUUGCCAACACAGGCAGAGAAGAUUCAAAGCAGCUUCAAAACAACAAAACCAAACAUCACAGCAUUCCCAAAUGUCACAUUAUUGCGCAUCGUACAUGGACAGAAGCUAACGAGACGGGAAGACAGGAACGUGAUUCUCCUUGGAGAGAGACAAUUUUCACUGCCGCGUCCGAGUCCAAAAAUAACAAAGAACAAAGGCGGAUAAAUGAGUGAGUUUUUGAGCACAGGCUAGUGGGCUUUGGCAGCACCGGCCAGGCGGGAGGGGAGGGAGAGACAGUGAGAGCUAGCUAGCAGGCCCGUCCACACAUCUGUCCACACAGCACGGGGUAGGUUCCAGCGACACCCACAGAAACAGGCUUAACCUUCUCUUCCCCCCACCACCUGUUCAUUACUAUGGGCCCCCCCACCGAGCCACCGCCACUCUGCUCUUCUCCUCUCACCCGCUCCCUUGUUCUCGUUUUCUCUCUGUCUGUCGCUACUCGUUCCAGUUCUCUCUUUGUUAUCCUGUUUGUGUUUUUUCUUUUCUUUUUUUUAAUCCAGUCUCUCCCUCUUUCAUUUAAUUUUUGCUUUUUAAAAAAAAAUCCUCACCAGUUCAGCUGCUCGCUCUCCCCGCUGGUCUCUACCCAAUGAUGAUUUAGUUUCAGUUAAAAAUGUAUGCAGCUAAUAGUAAGAUCGUCUAUUUUUUUUUUUUUGUCCUAAGGUAAGGGCUCAACAGACAGGUUGUUUCAACUCGCGUGAAGGAGAAAGAAGUGGCCGGCAUUUGUGGAUGGGAGAAAAAGAGGCUUUUGAUGAAUUGUCUGUGAAAGUGCAUCAGUCUACCCACAUCUUCAAAACCCCCCGAUGCCUCUUGUCUGCUUUCAGACUCAUUUUUCUCCACAUUGUUGGUAAUUUGAGCAUUCUCGCCCAUGGCAUCAUUCAUAGUUGGCCCAUUUAAAUCCCCUUAGAAAUUCAAUUUGGAGAAAGGAAAUGACAAGAUUUAGCUUAUUGAGGUAUGCCAGAACAUCGUGAAAAUCAGACAUGGGAAUAUAAGAGACUGUAAAACCCUCAUCAUGGUUCGCCUUUGUUACUGUGUGCAAAAGGGACUAAAUAAUCACUCUACUUGUUGAAGCACAUUCGCAGGUUUGAUCUUUUUUUUAUUUCAGUCAGGGUGAACCGUGGAGUAGCCUCUACUUGUGAUAACCUCGGCAAUCUGAAAACUAGACAGACAUUUCCUUUGGAACAAAAAAAGAAAGAAGCAGGAAUCGGUUUGCUUUAAAGUAG